GACGAACGCUGGCGGCGUGCUUAACACAUGCAAGUCGAACGAGGUACGUUGGAAGCUUGCUCUUAGAAAAUCUAGUGGCAAACGGGUGAGUAACGCGUAAACAACCUGCCCACAAGAGGGGGACAACAUUCGGAAACGAAUGCUAAUACCGCAUACGACCUAGUAUCGGCAUCGCGGCUACGUGAAAGAUGGCCUCUACAUAUACGAUCUCCUUGCGGUAGGUGUGCGUCUGAUUAGCUAGUUGGGGAGGUAACGGCUCACCAAGGCGACGAUCAGUAGCCGGUCUGAGAGGAUGAACGGCCACAUUGGGACUGAGACACGGCCCAGACUCCUACGGGAGGCAGCAGUGGGGAAUCUUCCGCAAUGGGCGAAAGCCUGACGGAGCAACGCCGCGUGAGUGAAGACGGCCUUCGGGUCGUAAAGCUCUGUUGACCGGGACGAAAGUGCGACGGGCGAAUAAUCAGAUGUAAUGACGGUACCUGAAGAGGAAGCCACGGCUAACUACGUG
rnacentral:rRNA from 1 species